rnacentral:rRNA from 1 species
AUUGAACGCUGGCGGCAUGCCUUACACAUGCAAGUCGAACGGCAGCGGACCUUCGGGUGCCGGCGAGUGGCGAACGGGUGAGUAAUAUAUCGGAACGUACCUUUCAGUGGGGGAUAACGUAGCGAAAGUUACGCUAAUACCGCAUAUUCUGUGAGCAGGAAAGCAGGGGAUUGUAAGACCUUGCGCUGAUUGAGCGGCCGAUAUCAGAUUAGCUAGUUGGUGAGGUAAAGGCUCACCAAGGCGACGAUCUGUAGCGGGUCUGAGAGGAUGAUCCGCCACACUGGAACUGAGACACGGUCCAGACUCCUACGGGAGGCAGCAGUGGGGAAUUUUGGACAAUGGGCGCAAGCCUGAUCCAGCCAUGCCGCGUGAGUGAAGAAGGCCUUCGG